CCUACGGGAGGCAGCAGUGGGGGAUAUUGCACAAUGGGGGAAACCCUGAUGCAGCAACGCCGCGUGAGUGAAGAAGGUCUUCGGAUUGUAAAGCUCUGUUCUUGGUGAAGAUAAUGACGGUAGCCAAGGAGAAAGCUCCGGCUAACUACGUGCCAGCAGCCGCGGUAAUACGUAGGGAGCGAGCGUUGUCCGGAUUUACUGGGUGUAAAGGGUGCGCAGGCGGCUCUGCAAGUCAGGCGUGAAAGCUAGGGGCUCAACCCCUAAAUUGCGCUUGAAACUGUGGAGCUUGAGUGAAGUAGAGGCAGGCGGAAUUCCCGGUGUAGCGGUGAAAUGCGUAGAGAUCGGGAGGAACACCAGUGGCGAAGGCGGCCUGCUGGGCUUUAACUGACGCUCAGGCACGAAAGCAUGGGUAGCAAACAGGAUUAGAUACCCCUGUAGUC
rnacentral:rRNA from 1 species